AGAUUGAACGCUGGCGGCAGGCCUAACACAUGCAAGUCGAGCGGCAGCGGGAAGAUAGUUUACUAUCUUUGCCGGCGAGCGGCGGACGGGUGAGUAAUGCCUAGGGAUCUGCCCAGUCGAGGGGGAUAACAGUUGGAAACGACUGCUAAUACCGCAUACGCCCUACGGGGGAAAGGAGGGGACCUUCGGGCCUUCCGCGAUUGGAUGAACCUAGGUGGGAUUAGCUAGUUGGUGAGGUAAUGGCUCACCAAGGCGACGAUCCCUAGCUGUUCUGAGAGGAUGAUCAGCCACACUGGGACUGAGACACGGCCCAGACUCCUACGGGAGGCAGCAGUGGGGAAUAUUGCACAAUGGGGGAAACCCUGAUGCAGCCAUGCCGCGUGUGUGAAGAAGGCCUUCGGGUUGUAAAGCACUUUCAGUAGGGAGGAAAGGUARUARUUUAAUACGCUAUURCUGUGACGUUACCUACAGAAGAAGGACCGGC
rnacentral:rRNA from 1 species